rnacentral:rRNA from 1 species
GAUGAACGCUGGCGGCGUGCUUAACACAUGCAAGUCGAACGGUGAACGAGGGAGCUUGCUCCCUCCGGAUCAGUGGCGAACGGGUGAGUAACACGUGAGCAAUCUGCCCUGGACUCUGGGAUAAGCGUUGGAAACGACGUCUAAUACCGGAUACGAGGCGUGGGGGCAUCCCCAACGCCUGGAAAGAACUUCGGUCCAGGAUGAGCUCGCGGCCUAUCAGGUAGUUGGUGAGGUAAUGGCUCACCAAGCCUACGACGGGUAGCCGGCCUGAGAGGGUGGACGGCCACACUUGGACUGAUACACGGCUCAGACUCCUCCGGGAGGCCGCGGGUGGGAAUAUUGCACAAUGGGCGAAAGCCUGAUGCAGCAACGCCGCGUGAGGGACGACCGCCUUCGGGUUGUAAACCUCUUUUAGCAGGGAAGAAGCGAAAGUGACGGUACCUGCAGAAAAAGCACCGGCUAACUACGUGCCAGCAGCCGCCGCCGUAA